GUCCAGCGUCUUACCUGCUCAAUAUUUAGACUAAAUCAUGAAGAGAUCUAAUACUGUCAGGUAAUGACGCUGGAU
rfam:Caenorhabditis tropicalis strain JT1373 unplaced genomic scaffold Scaffold629, whole genome shotgun sequence.